CCGGCGACCGGCGCACGGGUGAGUAACACGUAUGCAACCUGCCCGUGGCAGGGGGAUAAGCGGGGGAAACCCCGUCUAAUACCGCGUAACGCGGCCUUGGGGCAUCCCAAGGCCGCCAAAGGGAGCAAUCGCGGCCACGGAUGGGCAUGCGGCGCAUUAGCUAGUCGGCGGGGUAACGGCCCACCGAGGCGACGAUGCGUAGGGGUUCUGAGAGGAAGGCCCCCCACACUGGUACUGAGACACGGACCAGACUCCUACGGGAGGCAGCAG
rnacentral:rRNA from 1 species